rnacentral:misc_RNA from 1 species
GAAGUCGUUACUCCAACCCUUGUGGAGGAGGACGCCGAAGGUGGGGCUAAUGACUGGGGUGAAGUCGUAACAAGGUAGCCGUACCGGAAGGUGCGGCUGGAUCACCUCCUAACAGGGAGACAACAAAAUGUAAAUAUUAAUUUUGUCACCUUAGGUCGAUCGGUAUCUCAGACUCUUAUUUUUUAAGAAUUUCAGUUUCUAAGUUUUUCCUAGGUCACACCCAUCACUUUUUCCUGGGCCAUUAGCUCAGGUGGUUAGAGCGCACCCCUGAUAAGGGUGAGGUCCCUGGUUCAAGUCCAGGAUGGCCCAUAUCUCUAUGUUGGGGGUAUAGCUCAGUUGGUAGAGCGCCUGCUUUGCAAGCAGGAUGUCAGCGGUUCGAGUCCGCUUACCUCCACUGAAUACCACCUCUUACAUAUAUUUAAAGAGGGAAAUUGUUUUGAGUCGUGUCCUAAUUUGCUCUGAGCGAAUCUAGCUUCCUAUUUUAUUCUAUAAAUAAGAUGCUGGACUCAUUGAAUUUUUUUUCAUUGUUUUCAGAGAACCUUGACAACUGCAUAGAUUAUUUUUGAAGACAAUAAGCAUCUUUAAUGAUGCAGAUUUAUUAUUUGUGCGAAUGCAUUAAAUAACAAUUCUAUUAAGCUGAUGCUUCAAUUAUUGAAGUUAUUGGUCAAGCUACAAAGGGCUCACGGAGGAUACCUAGGCACACAGAGGCGAUGAA